AACCUGAUGAAAAUUAUGAUAGUGACUCACAAGAUUUUAAUGAACAUCAGGAAUUUAAAAAGUCUUGUCUGCAGACACCUGUCUCUGUGUUGAAUAAAAGUAGAACAAGAUUGGAAAAAGUGAUUAUAAUUACCUCUGUGAUUAAGGUGAAGGGAGUAGUAGCAAAAUUGAAUUGGACAGGGCAAGGUGAUCUUCAAAAAAAUUCUUUCCGAAUUCCUAAAUUUCGUCAAGUUAUUAAAAAAGAAAUUUGCUGACAAAAGAUACCACAUACAGCAAAAUUAAAAAGGCAGUUGUGGCUUUUUUUUCCGGAGCUCUAGACAGAAAUAGAGGCAGAAAAAAAAGAGCAUAAAAAAGUCCAUCCAGAAAACAGUUCAACAGAAAGUCGUGGCUAUACUGCCCAAUCAUUGACAUUGAAGCCUUUAUCUUGAUUAUCAUUACCACGAUUUGAGCCCUAUAUUUUUGAUGAAUCUGACAAAGAAUAAUGUUCUCAAAGUCUUGCAUGAUCUCUUUUAUAUGUUAUGUUUUAUAUUAAUUGUAUAUUUGA
rnacentral:lncRNA from 1 species